rnacentral:rRNA from 1 species
AUUGAACGCUGGCGGCAGGCUUAACACAUGCAAGUCGAGCGGAGAUGAGGUGCUUGCACCUUAUCUUAGCGGCGGACGGGUGAGUAAUGCUUAGGAAUCUGCCUAUUAGUGGGGGACGACAUUCCGAAAGGAAUGCUAAUACCGCAUAUGCCCUACGGGGGAAAGCAGGGGAUCUUCGGAACUUGCGCUAAUAGAGGAGCCUAAGUCGGAUUAGCUAGUUGGUGGGGUAAAGGCCUACCAAGGCGACGAUCUGUAGCGGGUCUGAGAGGAUGAUCCGCCACACUGGGACUGAGACACGGCCCAGACUCCUACGGGAGGCAGCAGUGGGGAAUAUUGGACAAUGGGCGGAAGCCUGAUCCAGCCAUGCCGCGUGUGUGAAGAAGGCCUUUUGGUUGUAAAGCACUUUAAGCGAGGAGGAGGCUACCUGGAUUAAUACUCUAGGAUAGUGGACGUUACUCGCAGAAUAAGCACCGGCUAACUCUGUGCCAGCCGCCGCGGUAAAAC